AUGGACUUCGAGUUCAGAAAUUCAUUUCUAUGUGAACCAUCCAGGGAUGACCCAAGAUCAGCACAUACAGACUUGAAGCCCAGCCGAGGACCUGCUCUCCAAAAGGCUGAAGAUAUCCCUGAGCUUCAGAACACUCAGCACAGCUUAUUGCAAAACAGCCGUAACGUAUGUGCCAGGAAGGAACUGCAAAGACUCUACAGGUCAUUUCAUUUAUGGCUGCAGCCAGGAUGACAUUACUUUUCAGGUGGCCCUGGAACAGUUUAUGCUCAAUAAGCCCUACAGUGAACGGUCUACUUUGAGAGAGAAAUGGGAAUCCAGGGGUAGAAACCUGGAGAAAUUCAUAGAAGACCUGAGUGAUGACUGCAUGAGGCCACCUGGCUUAGUCCAUGUCCACAUGCAGGGAGAGGAAGCCCUCAUUUCUGAGAAUAUGCCCUUAAAAGAAGUCAUUGUUCAUCUAACAAAACAGUUGUCAAUAAGAACCCCAGCAGGGGUGAACAUGGGGACACCCUGCUGGACUGUGCAAGACACUUCCCUGGAAACAGGACAAAGAUAAAGAUAAAAAAAAGUGGUGGCAACAUUCCUUUGAAAACUUGUCAAGUAGAUGACGGUGUUGCUAGUCCAAGCAAUCAUGCACCUUUCCUACUCAUUGUCCAAGAAGAGAGCUGCGCGAGGCCUGAAGAAGGAGGUGUGUCUUUGGAGAAUCCACGCAGCUCCAGAAGAGCAGGUCCAGUCCCCUCCAGGUCCCGGGAAAGGUCCCUGAAAGGACCCUCCUAUCAAGAUGUCCUUAUGGAGGUGGAACCAGAGUUUCUCUCCAAGCCAUACCAGGUCACCCUUGAGCUUGUUUCUACCCACGAGAGCACUGAGGGGGACUCUGCAUGUGGGGAACACCAAGAAAGAUCCCACGGAGCCCCAAAAGUAUACAAAUGUGAGAAGUGUCCCAAGAUCUUUAGGUAUUCUUCUCGGUUAAAAGUUCACCAGAAAAGACACAGUCAUGAAAGGACAUAUAUUUGUGCCGAGUGUGGCAAAGGCUUCUUCCAGGCAUCAGACCUACGUGUGCAUCAGAGGAUUCAUGCAAAGGAGAAGCCUUUCACGUGCAGCACGUGCGAAAUGGCCUUCAGCCACAAAACCAACCUCCGGGCUCACGAGAGAAUCCACACGGGAGAGAAGCCCUACGUGUGUUCCCUUUGCCAGAGACCCUUCCACGCGUCCUCCACCUACCACCGCCACCUCAGGCUUCACCAGAAACUUGCCCUCAAAGGUGCUCCCUCCGCGCUAAAAGCUUCUUUGGCCGUGGCCCCAGUCAAGUCCACCAGUCGGAAGAACCCAACCGCCCCCUCAGAGCUCCCAGCAGGGCGCUCGCCGGGGGCACACGCCCCGCAGGCGGGGCUCCACCCCAAGGACGAGGACAGGACAGAGGAGUGGACGGUAGCACCGUCUGUGACUCCAGCCCGGACCCGGGCCCGGGGCCUCCGGGAGCAAACGCUCAGCCUGGGCAGAGUGCGCGACUCUGCUGUGGCCACAGCCCGGAGCCGCACGCGCGACACCGUGAAGGGGGGAGUUGCAUGA